rnacentral:rRNA from 1 species
UACGGAGGAUGCGAGCGUUAUCCGGAUUUAUUGGGUUUAAAGGGCGCGCAGGCGGAUUUUUAAGUCAGCGGUCAAAUCGUGGGGCUCAACCCCAUCCAGCCGUUGAAACUGGGGAUCUAGAGUGUGCGAGAGGUAUGCGGAAUGCGUGGUGUAGCGGUGAAAUGCAUAGAUAUCACGCAGAACCCCGAUUGCGAAGGCAGCAUACCGGUGCACAACUGACGCUCAGGCACGAAAGCGUGGGUAUCGAACAGG